UGACGUUGGGAAAGCGAGCGGCGGAUGGGUGAGUAACACGUGGGGAACCUGCCCCUAAGUCUGGGAUACCAUUUGGAAACAGGUGCUAAUACCGGAUAAUAAAGCAGAUCGCAUGAUCAGCUUUUGAAAGGCGGCGUAAGCUGUCGCUAAGGGAUGGCCCCGCGGUGCAUUAGCUAGUUGGUAAGGUAACGGCUUACCAAGGCGACGAUGCAUAGCCGAGUUGAGAGACUGAUCGGCCACAUUGGGACUGAGACACGGCCCAAACUCCUACGGGAGGCAGCAGUAGGGAAUCUUCCACAAUGGACGCAAGUCUGAUGGAGCAACGCCGCGUGAGUGAAGAAGGUUUUUGGAUCGUAAAGCUCUGUUGUUGGUGAAGAAGGAUAGAGGUAGUAACUGGCCUUUAUUUGACGGUAAUCAACCAGAAAGUCACGGCUAACUACGUGCCAGCAGCCGCGGUAAUACGUAGGUGGCAAGCGUUGUCCGGAUUUAUUGGGCGUAAAGCGAGCGCAGGCGGAAAAAUAAGUCUAAUGUGAAAGCCCUCGGCUUAACCGAGGAACUGCAUCGGAAACUGUUUUUCUUGAGUGCAGAAGAGGAGAGUGGAACUCCAUGUGUAGCGGUGGAAUGCGUAGAUAUAUGGAAGAACACCAGUGGCGAAGGCGGCUCUCUGGUCUGCAAACUGACGCUGAGGCUCGAAAGCAUGGGUAGCGAACAGGAUUAGAUACCCUGGUAGUCCAUGCCGUAAA
rnacentral:rRNA from 1 species